rnacentral:RNase_P_RNA from 1 species
AGGGCCGUCUAGACGAUCGCCGGGUCGAGGGAUGUGAUUUGUCGCGAGAUCCGGAGGAAAGUCCGAACACCACAGGGCAGGGUGCUCCAUAACGUGGAGUCGCGGCAACGCGAAGGAAAGUGCAACAGAAAGCAUACCGCCACGCGCUCAUUGAAUGGGUGCAGGUAAGGGUGAAAAGGUGCGGUAAGAGCGCACCAGUUCUCCGGGUGACCGGGGAAGCUUUGUAAACCCCACCCGGUGCAAGACCAAAUAGGGGAGUGCUCGAGGGUGGCCCGCCCAAGCUCCCGGGUAGGUCGCAAGAGACGCCGGGCAACCGGCGUUCAUAGAUGAAUGAUCGUCAGAUGGUUUGGGGUAACCCAAACCGGAAACAGAAUUCGGCUUACGGACUGCCCUGGCC